rnacentral:rRNA from 1 species
CCUACGGGAGGCAGCAGUGAGGAAUAUUGGACAAUGGAGGAGACUCUGAUCCAGCCAUGCCGCGUGCAGGAAGACGGCCCUAUGGGUUGUAAACUGCUUUUAUACGGGAAGAAAAACAGCUACGUGUAGUUGACUGACGGUACCGUAAGAAUAAGGACCGGCUAACUCCGUGCCAGCAGCCGCGGUAAUACGGAGGGUCCGAGCGUUAUCCGGAAUUAUUGGGUUUAAAGGGUCCGUAGGCGGGCCAUUAAAUCAGGGGUGAAAGUCUGCGGCUCAACCGUAGAAUUGCCUUUGAUACUGGUGGUCUUGAGUUAUGGUGAAGUGGGCGGAAUAUGUAGUGUAGCGGUGAAAUGCAUAGAUAUUACAUAGAACACCGAUUGCGAAGGCAGCUCACUAACCAUAUACUGACGCUGAUGGACGAAAGCGUGGGGAGCGAACAGGAUUAGAUACCCUGGUAGUCCACGCCGUAAACGAUGGAUACUAGCUGUCCGGGGCCUUGAGUCCUGGGCGGCCAAGCGAAAGUGAUAAGUAUCCCACCUGGGGAGUACGUUCGCAAGAAUGAACCUCAAAGGAAUUGACGGGGGCCCGCACAAGCGGUGGAGCAUGUGGUUUAAUUCGAUGAUACGCGAGGAACCUUACCAGGGCUUAAAUGUAGAUUGACAGGUCUAGAGAUAGAUUUUCCUUCGGGCAAUUUACAAGGUGCUGCAUGGUUGUCGUCAGCUCGUGCCGUGAGGUGUCAGGUUAAGUCCUAUAACGAGCGCAACCCCUGUCGUUAGUUGCCAGCAUGUCAUGAUGGGGACUCUAACGAGACUGCCGGUGCAAACCGUGAGGAAGGUGGGGAUGACGUCAAAUCAUCACGGCCCUUACGUCCUGGGCCACACACGUGCUACAAUGGCCGGUACAGAGAGCAGCCACGUCGCAAGGCGGAGCGAAUCUACAAAACCGGUCACAGUUCGGAUCGGGGUCUGCAACUCGACCCCGUGAAGCUGGAAUCGCUAGUAAUCGGAUAUCAGCCAUGAUCCGGUGAAUACGUUCCCGGGCCUUGUACACACCGCCCGUCAAGCCAUGGAAGCCGGGAGUGCCUGAAGUCCGUCACCGUAAGGAGCGGCCUAGGGCAAGAUCGGUAACUAGGGCUAAGUCGUAACAAGGUAACC